rnacentral:rRNA from 1 species
GACGAACGCUGGCGGCGUGCUUAACACAUGCAAGUCGAACGGAAAGGCCCCUUCGGGGGUACUCGAGUGGCGAACGGGUGAGUAACACGUGGGUGAUCUGCCCUGCACUUCGGGAUAAGCCUGGGAAACUGGGUCUAAUACCGGAUAGGACCACGGGAUGCAUGUCCUGUGGUGGAAAGCUUUUGCGGUGUGGGAUGGGCCCGCGGCCUAUCAGCUUGUUGGUGGGGUGACGGCCUACCAAGGCGACGACGGGUAGCCGGCCUGAGAGGGUGUCCGGCCACACUGGGACUGAGAUACGGCCCAGACUCCUACGGGAGGCAGCAGUGGGGAAUAUUGCACAAUGGGCGCAAGCCUGAUGCAGCGACGCCGCGUGGGGGAUGACGGCCUUCGGGUUGUAAACCUCUUUCAGCAGGGACGAAGCGCAAGUGACGGUACCUGCAGAAGAAGCACCGGCCAACUACGUGCCAGCAGCCGCGGUAAUACGUAGGGUGCGAGCGUUGUCCGGAAUUACUGGGCGUAAAGAGCUCGUAGGUGGUUUGUCGCGUUGUUCGUGAAAACCGGGGGCUUAACCCUCGGCGUGCGGGCGAUACGGGCAGACUGGAGUACUGCAGGGGAGACUGGAAUUCCUGGUGUAGCGGUGGAAUGCGCAGAUAUCAGGAGGAACACCGGUGGCGAAGGCGGGUCUCUGGGCAGUAACUGACGCUGAGGAGCGAAAGCGUGGGGAGCGAACAGGAUUAGAUACCCUGGUAGUCCACGCCGUAAACGGUGGGUACUAGGUGUGGGUUUCCUUCCUUGGGAUCCGUGCCGUAGCUAACGCAUUAAGUACCCCGCCUGGGGAGUACGGCCGCAAGGCUAAAACUCAAAGGAAUUGACGGGGGCCCGCACAAGCGGCGGAGCAUGUGGAUUAAUUCGAUGCAACGCGAAGAACCUUACCUGGGUUUGACAUGCACAGGACGCCGGCAGAGAUGUCGGUUCCCUUGUGGCCUGUGUGCAGGUGGUGCAUGGCUGUCGUCAGCUCGUGUCGUGAGAUGUUGGGUUAAGUCCCGCAACGAGCGCAACCCUUGUCUCAUGUUGCCAGCGGGUAAUGCCGGGGACUCGUGAGAGACUGCCGGGGUCAACUCGGAGGAAGGUGGGGAUGACGUCAAGUCAUCACGCCCCUUAUGUCCAGGGCUUCACACAUGCUACAAUGGCCGGUACAAAGGGCUGCGAUGCCGCGAGGCUUAGCGAAUCCUUUUAAAGCCGGUCUCAGUUCGGAUCGGGGUCUGCAACUCGACCCCGUGAAGUCGGAGUCGCUAGUAAUCGCAGAUCAGCAACGCUGCGGUGAAUACGUUCCCGGGCCU